rnacentral:sRNA from 1 species
AUCUGAAAGGACGGUUUUAUAUGUGUAAUGAGUAU